CGGCUGUUGAGCUCCUUCUGUGUUCCAGUGGAACAUCUGUGUUUUACUGUGCAAAUGAGAAUGGCCAGGAUGUUACAUACAGCUGGACUGUCAGUAACAGCAUCCUGGGAGAACGGACUGUAUUCAGUAACAGUUGUAAAUAUAUAUCUUUGAAGAACAUGUCUGGAACUGUCCGCUGCUCUGUGGAGAAGAAGGGCUGCAGUGCACAGAGUGAACCUCAGAACUUUGACUGCACAGAACACCCACAUGAGACAAGACAUCCCUGGGGUGUCAUUGCUCUGAUCGUUGUCUGCGCACUGCUGCUUUGUCUGACCAUGGCUGCACUUCUGAUCUGUGUCCGAAGAAGCUACAAAACGCAUCCUCUGAAUGAGAAUUCUGCACAAUCCAGUUCCUCACCGGAGGCCACCGAUCACGAGCUAGUUUUUUAUACGCAAGUCAGACUCUCACGAUGACGCCUGUGAGCUUUUAAUUGGGCAAAAUAAAUGGUUGACAUAUUUUAUGAUUUUAUCGAGG
rnacentral:lncRNA from 1 species